rnacentral:lncRNA from 1 species
GCGAGAUAAAAGCGCAAUGCUCAAGGAACGAGUUAACUUGCAUGCUAAGAAAACUGUAACUGUCAAACAUAAGGUAACAGAAGUAGGAAUAGAGUGCCAAAGUCCUUUUCGGGUCCAAACCUGCUUUCUUUUCAAUUCAACAUACUCUUCCUCAUCAUCAUAACAAUCACCACAAUAAAUCUACUUCAAAUCAACAAUUAAACUCAUACAAUAUUCAAAUCCAACAACCAAAAUUCAACUAAGAAUCAUAGUUCACAAAUCCUAGGCUUUUAACACAAAUACCUCAAAUCAAUAAUUCACCAAAUCGUUAGUUAAUAACUAAUUAUCCAAUAAACUUCAACCAAAUAUAUAUAUUCAUCGACAAAUUACUAAACAUUAAGCAUACACCUGCAUUCCAACUUAUCCUAUGGUCAUCUAGCCUAAGUUUUCACAGAACAUUAUAUAUUAAAUGCAAGAAACCUAAACCAUACCUUGGCCGAUUUCCACGUAACGACCAAAGCUAUUUAUUCAAAACCAAGACAACCCCUCAAAACUCAACUAAUCCGCUUCCUCCAAGUUCCAGUAUUCACAAUUUCAAGCUCCAAUUAUUUAUUUUCAACCUAAUACACAUUCAUAAUACAUAUAUACCCAAUUUAAUACUCAAAGCUCAAAUUUAAUGAAAAUAAAAUAGAAUUAUCGUAUCCUCAUCUUACCCAAGCUUCACACAAGCAAGAGUGAACGUUUCUCUCAAGCUAAUUGGAUCCUAAAACAUCAAAAAUCAAAGAAAUUCAAUAUUCCCACUUAAAAUUCGAAAAUUGGGGGAAGAUGAAGCUGAGAGUGAAAUAACAAGUUACCAGUGAAAUUGUUCCAGUAGAAAUGUAGAGCUCAAAAGUUACCUAUGAAAUUGUUUCGGUAGAAAUGUAGAGCUCGACGCGGUGAACGCGUGGCCGCAAACGGUGCGGCGAUCGGAGCUCGAACGGAGGAGUUACGGGAUUUGGAAAGUAACGUGAGGGUUACGGGAUUUUUUUUUUUCUCGUUCUUCCCUCCCCUGGAAGCUGAAAGCUUCGC